rnacentral:rRNA from 1 species
GGACUACUGGGGUAUCUAAUCCCGUUCGCUCCCCUAGCUUUCGCGCCUCAGCGUCAGAAGAGGUCCAGCACGCCGCUUUCGCCACCGGCGUUCCUUCCGAUAUCAACGCAUUUCACCGCUCCACCGGAAGUUCCGCAUGCCCCUACCUCACUCAAGCCCACCAGUAUCGAAAGCACUUUUCCGGUUAAGCCGAAAGAUUUCACCCCCGACUUGGUGAGCCGCCUACGCGCCCUUUAAGCCCAGUGAUUCCGAACAACGUUUGCACGGUUUGUCUUACCGCGGCUGCUGGCAC